rnacentral:misc_RNA from 1 species
GAAAUGCGAUAAGUAAUGUGAAUUGCAGAAUUCAGUGAAUCAUCGAAUCUUUGAACGCACCUUGCGCUCCUUGGUAUUCCUUGGAGCAUGCCUGUUUGAGUAUCAUGAAAUCUUCAAAGUAAAUCUUUUGUUAACUCAAUUGGUUUCUACUUUGGUAUUGGAGGUCUUUGCAGCUUCACACCUGCUCCUCUUUGUUCAUUAGCUGGAUCUCAGUGUUAUGCUUGGUUCCACUCGGCGUGAUAAGUUAUCUAUCGCUGAGGACACUGUAAAAGGUGGCCAAGGUAAAUGCAGAUGAACCGCUUCUAAUAGUCCAUUGACUUGGACAAUACUUUUAUGAUCUGAUCUCAAAUCAGGUAGGACUACCCGCUAAACUUAAGCA